CUUGGUCAUUUAGRGGAAGUAAAAGUCGUAACAAGGUUUCCGUAGGUGAACCUGCGGAAGGAUCAUUAACGCAUCUCAUCGGGGUUUCGGUGGCCCUGCUCCGGUUCAGGCCGUGCAGAGCGGGCCCCGUUCCCUGAAAAACCACAAACCCACCGUGCACCUUUCGUGGCAGAGGGUGCGGCGCGAGCCUAGCCCAAAGCUGCGGUCUCACAGACACUGUAAUCGAACGUCGAGCGGACAAUGUUCCGCCCAUGAACUUGACAACUUUCAACAACGGAUCUCUUGGCUCUCGCAUCGAUGAAGAACGCAGCGAAAUGCGAUAAGUAAUGUGAAUUGCAGAAUUCAGUGAAUCAUCGAAUCUUUGAACGCACCUUGCGCUCCUUGGUAUUCCGAGGAGCAUGCCUGUUUGAGUGUCUUGAAAUCAUCAAACCCCUGCACUUUUGUGCUGGGUUUGGAGCCUGGGGGCCUGCUGCCGAAGAGGUGGCUCCCCUCAAAUGCAUCGGUUGGGCCUAGGGGGUCGAACUUGACUGGGCGUUGUACCAUCCUCGCUCUAGUGGACAGACCCCGUGCCCGAGCCAGACCGCCCGCGGGGUGGCGGUCAGACAUGUAACUUGAAAUCUGACCUCAAAUCAGGUAGGACUACCCGCUGAACUUAAGCAUAUCAAUAAGCGGAGGAAAAGAAACUAACAAGGAUUCCCCUAGUAACUGCGAGUGAAGCGGGAAAAGCUCAAAUUUGAAAUCUGGCGGUUCUGCCGUCCGAGUUGUAUUCUGGAGAAAGUGUUUUCUGUGCUGGACCGUGUACAA
rnacentral:rRNA from 2 species